rnacentral:misc_RNA from 1 species
ACAUAAUGAUGUUAUAAAAACAUGAGGUAAAGAUAAUGAUAUUUAUGUCUAACUGAAACUUAAAUGAUUAUAAAUUCUCCAAUAGAAAUGCAAUAUUUAAAAUAGUCUUGCCUGCUGUGGAUGUCCAGGUUUGGAUGGUGGACAUACGUUUUUUUCUUGAUUUAUUUUCGAUGGAGACUCGAACCCCGAAAAUUAAUUCAGUGCCUAUUGAUUUGAUGAUGAUAAUCACAAAGACGGCAAGAACCUUACCACUGCUAAACACAUUUGCCAGUAUACCAUACAAAAGGAUUUGCAAAUCAAAAUCUUAAUCAUCAAGGAGAAUGUGUCAUCUCAAACUGGCAGACAGUGGACUCUCCCUUUCUCAAGAUACUUCAUCAAGCAAGUCAAGAAAUCCUUUCUGUGCAGUCCUUUGAAAUUCAGAUACAUUUAAACGAAGCCCGUAAGUAGACGCUGCUUCAAACUUUGUCCACAGCUCCUUUUUCAGAGUA